AAAUCACUGCUUGAUUUUUCACGGAUACCUGUGUGCUGUGGCUAUUCCUUCUUUAUCUACCUUUCUAGCUAUCUUUAUCAAAGUUUCCAAACCAAGGUGCCUCCAGCUCUGUUAUAUAUAUUAGCAUCUGUGACAUGUAUCAGGAACAUGUUAUCAUACCUGUGUCUUUUUACAGGUGACUGAUGCCCGAUGAGAAGGUGAACGUGACAUAUACCCUCGUCAGCUACAAGAAAGGACAGGUGACUGAUGCCCGAUGAGAAGGUGAACGUGACAUAUACCUUUGUCAGCUUCAAGAAAGGAACCACAAGACAGGUUACUGAUGCCCGAUGAGAAGGUGAACGUGACAUAUACCUUUGUCAGCUUCAAGAAAGGAACCACGAGACAGGUGACUGAUGCCCGAUGAGAAGGUGAACGUGACAUAUACCUUUCUCAGCUUCAAGAAAGGAACCACGAGACAGGUGACUGAUGCCCGAUGAGAAGGUGAACGUGACAUAUACCUUUCUCAGCUUCAAGAAAGGAACCACGAGACAGGUAAUUAAU